rnacentral:rRNA from 1 species
UGGGGGAUAUUGCACAAUGGGCGAAAGCCUGAUGCAGCGACGCCGCGUGGGGGAUGAAGGCUUUCGGGUUGUAAACCUCUUUCGCUAUCGAACAAGGCCCGCUUAGGGUGGGUUGAGGGUAGGUGGAGAAGAAGCGCCGGCUAACUACGUGCCAGCAGCCGCGGUAAUACGUAGGGCGCGAGCGUUGUCCGGAAUUAUUGGGCGUAAAGGGCUUGUAGGCGGCUUGUUGCGCCUGCUGUGAAAACGCGGGGCUUAACUUCGCGCGUGCAGUGGGUACGGGCAGGCUUGAGUGUGGUAGGGGUGACUGGAAUUCCAGGUGUAGCGGUGGAAUGCGCAGAUAUCUGGAGGUACACCGAUGGCGAAGGCAGGUCACUGGGCCAUUACUGACGCUGAGGAGCGAAAGCAUGGGUAGCGAACAGG